rnacentral:rRNA from 1 species
CGAAGUCUUCGGACUUAGUGGCGGACGGGUUAGUAACGCGUGGGAACGUGCCCUUUACUUCGGAAUAGUCCCGGGAAACUGGGUUUAAUACCGAAUACGCCCUUCGGGGGAAAGAUUUAUCGGUAAAGGAUCGGCCCGCGUUGGAUUAGGUAGUUGGUGGGGUAAUGGCCUACCAAGCCGACGAUCCAUAGCUGGUUUGAGAGGAUGAUCAGCAACACUGGGACUGAGACACGGCCCAGACUCCUACGGGAGGCAGCAGUGGGGAAUCUUAGACAAUGGGGGCAACCCUGAUCUAGCCAUGCCGCGUGAGUGAAGAAGGCCUUAGGGUCGUAAAGCUCUUUCGCCAGGGAUGAUAAUGACAGUACCUGGUAAAGAAACCCCGGCUAACUCCGUGCCAGCAGCCGCGGUAAU